ensembl:lncRNA
UCUACCAACACUCACUGCUCCAACCACAAAACAGGGACACUUCCAUUUUCACCCUCCAUCCCAGACCAAGUGAUUCGAAUUUAAGCCAAGUGGGUGCCUCUGACUAUACUGGUAUUUAAUGCUGAUUAAACCUUGGAAUCACCUGGAGAGCUUGGCCUCUAAUGUUGCCUGGGCUCCACCCUUGGAGAUCCUGAUUUAAUUGGUCUGGGGUGGGGUGCAGGAGUCAGCAUUUUUUUAACAGCUUUCCAGAUGAUUCUUUUCUGUAGCUAGGUUGAGAAGUGCAGGAAUCAAAAACAGUAGAGAUUUCAGGAUAGAAAGAACAGCACAAGGAUUCAUCACUAUUCAAGACCUUACCUUGCUACACAAAACAUCAACAUCUCUGUCCUAUCUGCGUGCUUAGUUCAAUUAGUUUCCUGUGUGACUACGUCUGCUACGGAAAGAAGAUGGAGGUUUCAUCUUGACUCUGUUCCCAGAGGCAGCUAAGAAGUGAGAGGACAGGAGGUUGGAGUGACUUUCUUAAUACCAGAAAAAGCGACUGCAAGUGACUGCAAAAGCGAUGCGAUCUGCCCGAGGUCUACCCACUGGUGCAGAAGGAAGAUCCAGAAGAGAGCAUUUGAAGGGCUGUGUGGAAGAAACGUGGUUUUCUGUUAGAGCCCCACCAAGUCCGGGUUAUUUCAAAAACUGGUAGUAUUUGAAUUUGUUUGUGUCACAGUAUACUUUCCUGGAAAGAUUUUGUAAGUAAAACUAGAUGAGAAGCUUGACGAUUUUUAUACCUCAGAAAAAUUUACAACUAGGUCGUUUUUAUCCGAAUACUUGUAUUUGAAAACAAAGUUUUGUAUAAAAGUUACUCUUUGGAAACUUUUUCAAAGCAAAAAAAGCCCUUUUCUCAUUCAGAAUUGGUUCUGCUUGACAAUGUCCAAAGGUGUCUUUUUAUAUUAUUAAUUAUGUUGUCUGAGAAUCUAAUUCCAUAUGGAAAAUGUAGUCUCUCUCUCCCUUUGUGUAUAUAUAUACAUACAGAUACAAAUUAUAUAAAUAUAUAUGUAAAAAAAGUGUAUACAUAUGUUUGUGUGUUUUGAUGUGUCAACUUUAGGCUACGGUCCCCAGCUAUUUAAUCAAACACUAGCCUAGGUGUUGCCAUGAAGGGAGUUUUCAGAUGUAAUUAAUGUCUAUAAUCAGUUGACUUGACCUCAGAUAGAUUAUCUUGAACAAUCUACCUGAAAGGCCUUAAAAGUAAGGCUGAGGGUUCCCUGAGAAAAAGAAUUCUGCCAUGGACAGCAGCUUCAGUCUCCCCCUGUGAGUCGUAGCCUCUCCGGGCUCUUCCUUUCCUGACCGCCAGCCCCCACAACCACACAGGCCAAUUCUUUGCAAUAAAUCUCUUAAUAUGUAUAUGUGUGUGUACGUAUGUGUGUGUACACAUAUGUCUCAAAACCAGAGGAUUAUAUGAGUAAGCUUACUCCCCAAGCAGGCCUUCCUUGGGUCAGGCCUACCCAGUAAAGAGCACCGUAAAGCCAAAAACAAAACAAAACCCAAAGUCAGUGAAGAUAAACAAAUAGAGACCAUAUACUUGUGGUGAGUGAAAAAUGAAAAUGUCAGGUUCAGGGAACAACAACUUCUAGGUGGCAGUAAUAUCUCAGAGGACUUCAAAAAGUUAGUUAAAGAAAGAACUUCCAUUUUUAUAGUUUGGCUUACUGGAACAUUUAAAAAUUAUAGAUUUGUUAUUAAUAAUAUAAGACAUAGGCUCCAGAGCUAGACUUUCUGGAUUCACAUUUCUGUUCCACUUGUUAGUAGCAACAUGGCCUUAGGCAAGCUGGCUCUCUCUGACUCUUCCAGAAAAUGGUGAUAAACAGUAAUGCCUCAUCCCUGGGCUGCCGUGAGGACUAAGCAAGUUAAUAUGUGAAAGCACUUUGGACAAAGCGUAGCACACAGGAAGAACAAAAUGUUAGUUAUUAUUUUAUUUUCUGUUAUUUUGUUUAUUAUCAUAAAUGUACUUAGCUUGAGAAACCACUUGAAUCCCAAUAUGGUGUUAGAAUUGAAUACAAUGUUCUAGAGAACAUCCAAAAGAAAAUAAAAGAAAUUGUUCCAUGUGCAAAUUUCAAGGGAGAAAGCUUGCACAAUUGUAAGUGUUAAGCCUCUUCUUGUGAAAUAUCAAAAGCUUAUUUUUCAAAAUGCUGUCCUUUAUUACUUUGGUGUUCAUCCUGUAAACUUAAAGGGCUUUUUCCCUCCCCCUAAAAAAUGUGUGACAAUUUUGUCAGGUGGAGCUUCAUCUUUGCUGUUUAUUUUUAUUUCUGAAAUGUCCAGUAAUCUUCAGGUGUAGCUGAUAAUGCCCAAAUAUUUCUUCUCAUCGUGACUCCUAUGGGAAAAUAUAGUUUGUAAUGUUAUUUAAAAAUUGGCAUUUCUCCAUUCUAGACAAUUUUGCUUACUCUUUAGAAAAAAAAAUCAAAUGUGAUCUAAUCUAAAAGUAUGCAUUAUGAUUGAGAAGAGUGGAAGACAUUGCUAUUUCUGUGGGUUCAAAUACUAAGGUUGCCUGUAGUCUCAAGCUGACUUCUGUUGCUCUGCCCUGUGUGUGGGCAUCUACUGCAGUGACUAUGUGGGGCUGUCAUGGGUUGAAUUACGUCUCCUAAAACACUGUUGAUAGCCCUUAUGUGGAAAAGGGUCUUUGCAGAUAAUCAAGAUGAGGUCAUUAGUGUCCUUAUGAAAAGGGGAAAU